rnacentral:lncRNA from 1 species
AUGCAUGCACUCACACUCACACUCACACACAUAGGCAUGCAUGCAUGCACUCACACUCACAGGCACGCAUAUGCUCACACACUCACAGGCACACAUGCAGUCACACAGGCACGCAUGCACUCACACACACAGGCAUGCAGGCACUCACAUUCAGGCACACAUGCACUCACACUCACACAGGCAUGCAGGCACUCACACUCACAGGCACACAUGCACUCACACACUCACAGGCAUGCAUGCAUUCACUCUUACAAGCACACAUGCACUCACAUUCACACUCAGAGACAUGCAUGCACUCACAGGCAUGCACGCACUCACACUCACAGGCAUGCAUGCACUCAUACUCACACAUUUACAGGCAUGCAUGCACUCACAUACAGGCACACAUACACUCACAGGCAUGCAUGCACUCACAUUCACACACUGACACAGGCACGCAUGCACUCACAUUCACACACUCACAGGCAUGCAUGCACUCACACACACAGGCAUGCACUCACACUCAUACAUACACUCACACAUUCACAUGCAUGCACUCAUACUGACACACACAGAUACACAUGCACUCACACUCACACACUCCUCCUUCUCUCUCCCUUUGUUUCCACGUAUCCCUCUCCCAUUUUCUCAUGCACAUACACACUAACACACGCAGUGCACAGGCACAUGUGUGGGAAUACAUGCAGGCACUCAGGCAGGGACACAAACUCACAUGUGCAUGCAAACACACACACACGUGCAUGCACCCACACACAAGCACACCUGUUUGCACAGCCUCCUGCAGGCUCAGAGUGGGCUGGAAGGAACCAUCAGAGGACUGCACCUACAGACGACCCUAGGGCCUAUUUCAUUUUUGGGGGGAAGGAUGGAGGAGUUGCCCCGCCCCAUGUGGGACCAGGUGUCAGCAGGCAGCCCUGGACCAGUGCCCGGGAGCUCAGCCAUUCUGGGCCCCCCAGUGCUGGGGCCCGAGCUUGCUCUUCCCCAGAGGCUGCUGCUCUCCGGCAUGAAGCCCCCAGGUGCUCACAUGCAUCGCCCUCCUGUCUCAGACAGUCCAGGAGAGGGAAUGACACCUGCCAGCUCAGCCUCCUCUAG